CCUACGGGAGGCAGCAGUAGGGAAUCUUCCGCAAUGGACGAAAGUCUGACGGAGCAACGCCGCGUGAACGAUGAAGGCCUUCGGGUCGUAAAGUUCUGUUGUUAGGGAAGAACAAGUGCUAGUUGAAUAAGCUGGCACCUUGACGGUACCUAACCAGAAAGCCACGGCUAACUACGUGCCAGCAGCCGCGGUAAUACGUAGGUGGCAAGCGUUGUCCGGAAUUAUUGGGCGUAAAGCGCGCGCAGGCGGUUUCUUAAGUCUGAUGUGAAAGCCCCCGGCUCAACCGGGGAGGGUCAUUGGAAACUGGGAAACUUGAGUGCAGAAGAGGAAAGUGGAAUUCUAAGUGUAGCGGUGAAAUGCGUAGAGAUUUGGAGGAACACCAGUGGCGAAGGCGACUUUCUGGUCUGUAACUGACGCUGAGGCGCGAAAGCGUGGGGAGCAAAACGAGGUAUUAGACUACCCGUGGUAGUCCACGCUAGUAAACGAUGAGUGCUAAGUGUUAGACGGGUUUCCGCCUUUAGUGCUGUAGUAACGUACAUAAGUACACUCCGCCGUCGGGAGGUACGGUACGCGAGACGUAGUAACGUUAAAGUAGUUAAGUUAGUACGGUUCGUUGAGAGNGCGACGGACGACGACGAGGGAGGAGG
rnacentral:rRNA from 1 species